rnacentral:lncRNA from 1 species
GUCAUUUGCGAAUGUACCAUUCUACAACAAUUUGUGCCACAGUUUUAUUUUAUUUAUUUAUCAAAAUAGAAUAAUAAAUUUUAAUUUGUUUUAAUGAUACUAUUAAUUGUUUUUUUAGAUAUAACCAUAUUAGAAAUAUUUUAAACAAUUAUUAUAUUGGUAAUUAUUCUGGGGUAGAGGAUUAACCUAAACCCUAUCAGACCCAAAUAAUUGAAGAAUUGAAGCUCCCUUAAACUUUUUUUGUUUUUUAAAAUUAACCUUGGUCUAUUCAAAACUUAUCAUAUUUCUUUUUGGAUUAAAUCAAAAACAAAAUUAAAAUAAAUGAUGUUUGAACCAAUUUGAAUUGGUUGAAUCCACAAUAAUUUUUUUUUAAUAAAAUUUUAAUAAUUUACUUAAUUGAGUUGAUAAUUGAAUUGAUUUUACCACCAACUCAAAUAUUGCAAAUCAAUUUUCCUAUGUUCCGGAAUGGUUACUUCAUCUCCAAGUGCUUUAUCAUAGUAGAGAUGGACUUCAAAAAAUCAAAGGCGUCUUUAGAACUUUCAGUAACAUCAAUGCUUGCUGAAGCUUGGGAUAAUACACGAUUUGAAUCACCAUCUUCAUGGUAUUCUAAAUAUAGUUUCGACCAAUUUUGACCCAAUAAGACCAAUUAACAAAACCACCCCAAACAACUAAAACCAAACCCAAUUUCCAAAGCCCAAUUACAAACCCAUAAGCCCAACACCACAAAAUUUUCAGAAAAAGAAAAUAGAAAACCUAACCCUAGCCCCCCCGCCCCUAGUGCUGCCGCCUCUGACCAGCCUACUGGCAGCCACCGACUCCACUGCCCUGUUGCGUCACCAUCCUCCAACUUGCACCUGCAAAACAUAAAUGACAAAAGACAGCAAACACAAGGGAAAAAAGGAAAAUCAUGUAAAAAUGGCUAUAUAAAAGCCAAAUAAAAACAAUGUAAGGGUCUGAUUUUUUUCUUGAAUAAAAACAGCUCAAAACAAAAAGAACAACAAAAGCAAUCGGAGUAGAAAGGAGAUUCAAAAUCGGGCUAAGGUUUUCUUUUCUUUUCUUUUUCUUUUUUUUCUUUUCCUAUUUUCGAAUCUAUCUCUUCCUAUAUAAUAUAUUAAAUUAUAUCAAAAAUAUAUUUUAAAAAAAAUAUAUAAAAAACGUACCUUUUAUAUUUUCACGGUGGCCGACGACGACGGUGGGCCACGGUGGCGACUGGACUGAAACCUCGCCGGAGCAAUGGCCUCUGCAGAGAACAAAGAGGAAGAAAGGAAAUUUUUUUAAAAAGAGGAGAAGAAAAAAAAAUUGGGUUUACAUAGGCCACCAAAACGACGUCGUUUUGGGACUGGCCUUAAACACGCAAAACGACAUCGUUUUGAGACGACCCCACCCGACCCGCUCCAACUUCAGGAUCCGCGUGUUUUCAUUGGAGGGGCUAUUUUCGCAUUUAGCCCCUCUGAUUUUUUAUUACUUUGCAAUUAAAUCAAUUUUUAUUUUUAAUUUGGCCCCGAAAUUUACCGAGUUUUGCGAUUUGGUCCUCCCUUCAGUGACGUCGUUUUAAGGGCUCGGGUAAAUUGCCUUUUUGGCCCUCUGUAGUCGCACGCGCAUUCAAAUGGGUCCCUUUUUUUAUAUUUCUUUUUAAAUUGGCCCCCUAACUUUUACUCUAAUUUCAAUUUAGCCUUUUUGUGUUAUUUUCAAUAUUGUAAUUAAAUUAAUUAAGGUAAUAUAUUACUGUUA